AUAUAUGUAUAAUGUCCCCCUUUGUAUUUCUUAUUAUUUAAAAAAAAUAUUAAAAAUAAUUUUAAAAGGACGCAGCUGUGCGUUUGAGAAACGACCGGAAACGACUUAUAUGUCGCGAGGCCAUCACGUGACCACAAUAUUUACCAGAAGACCGUUAUUUGCUCGAGUACCCUCAACUUUUUUGUCGCAAAUAACAUUAUUAAUAACCUGUAAAUAAUAAAUUUUGUACACAUUACGUUCCUCUUCACUUUGUAAUAGUAUGUUUUUUGGUUUAAUAGUCGGCUUUAAGUUAGUUUUUCUGUCAGUUUGAUCGUCAAAAUCUUGAAAGUUAUCUGCAGCCACACAUCCACUGUAUACCAAGUUAUGAUGAACAAUUAUGAAAAUGCAAAAGGAUUGAUAGAUCAGUAAACAAGCAACAAAAAGAUGGGUGCUCAUGGUGGCCUCCAAAUAAAUACAUGGACAGGCUGCUAAAGAGGGUCAGGAUGAUGGAGAUGCAAGAGCCAAAGACAGCACAGACCAAACACCAGGCCAGAAUUCUGCAUGAGUCAGCUGUAAAAAAAAAAAAAGAAUGAAACAGUACCUGCAUUUAAGUUUCCAGCCUUUUUCACAAAGUUGCCGACAACUGGAAGAAUGUCCCAAAUUGCUGCAAAAAGAAAUUCAAUUGAGUAAUUUUCACUCUAGAGACCCUUGGGUGACCACCAAGGACGAAUGCAAACUCCAGUGAGUGUCUCUAAGGUAGAUCCUAAUGCAGAUGGAUGGAAUGUUGAUCCGCCUAACAUGCAAGCUACAGAGGGCAUCCUUUAUUCAGUCCCUAAUGCAGAUGGUUGGAGUGUUGAUCUACCUAACAUGAGGGGUAAAAGAGCGUUUGUUAGCAUAAUGAGAAAGAAAACAGAAACACAUUAUUAGUGGCAUUUAAAAACAUAACACUUGUUUAUACUACAUUUUAUGUUCAAUCCAUAGAGCACUCGUUUUGAGUCCUGAGACCCUGGGGUGACCACCGUGAACAAAUACAGAAGCACUCAAUUUGAGUCCUGAGACCCUGGGGUGACCACCGUGAACAAAUACAGACUGCAAUAGCAGUCUUGACGGUACUAGGAUGAAUGCAAAUAAAGACUAACCACCUGACAUCAGCUGUCCAGUCUCUUGUGGGAAGCAGGUGCUUGUUACCCCAAAUACGGAUGAAGAGUGACGAAGAGGAUGAUGACUUU